GACGAACCGUGCGAACGUUAUUCGGAAUCACUGGGCUUAAAGCGCGUGUAGGCGGGAGGGCACGUCCGUCGCUGAAAUCCCCCGGCUCAACCGGGGAACGGGCGCGGAUACGCCCUUCCUUGAGGGGCGUAGGGGGACCUGGAACUUCCGGUGGAGCGGUGAAAUGCGUUGAUAUCGGAAGGAACGCCGGUGGCGAAAGCGAUCCGCUGGACCUCUUCUGACGCUGAGGCGCGAAAGCCAGGGGAGCAAACGGG
rnacentral:rRNA from 1 species